UACAGACUUAUUUCCUAAACAAUAAUAAAGUCUUUUCCUUCUGCAAUUUCUCAUUUCCUUCGAAGAAGAGAAAGCUGCUUCUCAGCCAUUCCCUCGGAGUUCCCUUGGCAGUUGGCCACCCUCACAGGAUAAAGAUGCUGCCUUUGUUGAGAAUCAACAGCAUAACAUUGAUGAUGUCAUCGAUCGGCUGCCACGUUUAGCAAUAGGGAUAAAUGUAAAUAUUAAGUUUAGAAGGUAGUAGCUACUUAGUCCUUUUAUCUUCGCCGGCCUUUUUUAAACUACGUUUAAUGUUGUAUUUGCAGAAUUGAUGAUUUUAAAUUCACUCCAGAAUGUGCGAUUUUUUAUUUGCUGAACAUUCGUCUAUAUCAUGGUCGGAUAGUUGACCCACAGGUUCUUAUAUACUUUCUUUCUUCUAA